CUGACUGCCAAACCAAGAGGACGAACUGACCUGCUCUCGGGUGAGCGUCGGGGCGGAGGCUCCGGUGGCGGGAGUCGCAACUGGCUACACCGUCCUCGGGCAUUACAUCGGGCCUUAUGACAACAGCAGCUGCUGCAGCGUUGAGUUCACCCUUGGCUAUUCCGUGUGGGGCCGCUACGUCCACAUCAGGCGAACAGCACAGGACCCUAACACCAGCAACAACUUCCUUGUCCUACAGGAAGUGAAGAUUAUCCUUUAAGAUACCGAGACGAACAAGUUGCGAAAUACUGCCUUUGUAAGGUUUCGUAGAUAGAUAUGAUAAUGCACAAAUCGUGCCUCGUACUGUUAUUGUUGU